AUUGAACGCUGGCGGCAGGCCUAACACAUGCAAGUCGAGCGAGAGGCGGACGGGUGAGUAAUGUCUGUGAAACUGCGUGAUGGAGGGGGAGAACAACUGGAAACGGUAUCUAAUACAGCAUACCAUCGGAUGUGCCCCGAUGGGGUUCGCUAGUAGGUGGGGUAAUGGCUCACCUAGGCGACGAUCCCUAGCUGUUGUGAGAGGAUGACCAGCCACACUGGAACUGAGACACGGUCCAUACUCCUACGGGAGGAAGCAGUGGGGAAUAGUGCACAAUGGGCGCAAGCCUGAUGCAGCCAUGCCGCGUGUAUGAAGAAGGCCUUCGGGUUGUAAAGUACUUUCAGCGGGGAGGCGUUACCCGCAGAAGAAGCACCGGCUAACUCCGUGCCAGCAGCCGCGGUAAUAC
rnacentral:rRNA from 1 species